rnacentral:rRNA from 1 species
AUUGAACGCUGGCGGCAUGCCUUACACAUGCAAGUCGAACGGCAGCACGGGAGCAAUCCUGGUGGCGAGUGGCGAACGGGUGAGUAAAGUAUCGGAACGUGCCCAGUCGUGGGGGAUAACGUAGCGAAAGUUACGCUAAUACCGCAUACGAUCUAUGGAUGAAAGCGGGGGAUCGCAAGACCUCGCGCGAUUGGAGCGGCCGAUAUCAGAUUAGGUAGUUGGUGGGGUAAAGGCUCACCAAGCCGACGAUCUGUAGCUGGUCUGAGAGGACGACCAGCCACACUGGGACUGAGACACGGCCCAGACUCCUACAGGAGGCAGCAGUGGGGAAUUUUGGACAAUGGGCGAAAGCCUGAUUCAGCCAUGCCGCGUGCAGGAUGAAGGCCUUCGGGUUGUAAACUGCUUCUGUACGGAACGAAAAGGUUUGGCCUAAUAAGCUGAGCUCAUGACGGUACCGUAAGAAUAAGCACCGGCUAACUACGUGCCAGCCGCCGCAGUAA